UAAGGAAUAUUGGUCAAUGGAGGCAACUCUGAACCAGCCAUGCCGCGUGUAGGAAGACGGCCCUCUGGGUUGUAAACUGCUUUUAUUCGGGAAUAAACCUGCUUACGUGUAAGUAGCUGAAUGUACCGAAGGAAUACGGAUCGGCUAACUCCGUGACAGCAGCCGCGGUAAUACGGAGGAUCCAAGCGUUAUACGGAUUUAUUGGGUUUAAAGGGUGCGUAGGCGGCUUAUUAAGUCAGGGGUGAAAGACGGUGGCUCAACCAUCGCAGUGCCCUUGAUACUGAUGAGCUUGGAUGGACUAGCGGUAGGCGGAAUGUGACAAGUAGCGGUUAAAUGCAUAGAUAUGUCACAGAACACCGAUUGCGAAGGCAGCUUACUAUGGUUUAAUUGCCGCUGAGGCACGAAAGCGUGGGGAUCAAACA
rnacentral:rRNA from 1 species